rnacentral:rRNA from 1 species
GACGAACGCUGGCGGCGUGCUUAACACAUGCAAGUCGAACGGAAAGGCCCUGCUUUUGUGGGGUGCUCGAGUGGCGAACGGGUGAGUAACACGUGAGUAACCUGCCCUUGACUUUGGGAAAACUUCAGGAAACUGGGGCUAAUACCGGAUAGGAGCUCCUGCUGCAUGGUGGGGGUUGGAAAGUUUCGGCGGUUGGGGAUGGACUCGCGGCUUAUCAGCUUGUUGGUGGGGUAGUGGCUUACCAAGGCUUUGACGGGUAGCCGGCCUGAGAGGGUGACCGGCCACAUUGGGACUGAGAUACCGCCCAGACUCCUUCGGGGGGCAGCAGUGGGGAAUUUUGCACAAUGGGGGGAAGCCUGAUGCAGCAACGCCGCGUGCGGGAUGACGGCCUUCGGGUUUUAAACCGCUUUCGCCUGUGACGAAGCGUGAGUGACGGUAAUGGGUAAAGAAGCACCGGCUAACUACGUG